CUAAGAGAUGGCGACCGGCGCACGGGUGAGUAACACGUAUCCAACCUGCCGAUAACUCGGGGAUAGCCUUUCGAAAGAAAGAUUAAUACCCGAUGGCAUAAUAGAACCGCAUGGUUUGAUUAUUAAAGAAUUUCGGUUAUCGAUGGGGAUGCGUUCCAUUAGGCAGUUGGUGGGGUAACGGCCCACCAAACCUUCGAUGGAUAGGGGUUCUGAGAGGAAGGUCCCCCACAUUGGAACUGAGACACGGUCCAA
rnacentral:rRNA from 1 species